CUUUUUGCAAACUGACUAAUCCUGAAUGUGAUUCUUUCACUGAGAAAAAGUAUACAUGGACAAGAAGAAGACUCUCCCUUAUAAAGGAGUACUCCCGCUACCUCUCACAGGGGAGUAUUGUCCAGCUAUUUUCCUGCUCAGAGUUAACUCUACUUUUAAAGUGUAUUGCAUUAUUUGUGGCAAAGAAAAUUAUGUUAUCCAUCUUGAUUGUUCUGCCUUUUUAACUGGGCAGAAACACCAGUCUGUGGGGGUAUGUAGAGGAUGGGUUUAUUCCCAAAGUAAGAUUCAUCUAGUAUGCCUCAUUGAUCAUAGGGUAAUGAUGAAAUUGUAUUUUUAAUAGAGAUCAGACAAUUUCUGACAUUUAUAAGUGAGGCAAUUCUAAUCUAAACUACUGUACUAUAUUUGUAUUGGUAAAUUGAAAGCAUUUUUGCAGACCCAGAAGAGGAUAAGUAAGAUAAUAAUGAAGGGGUUAUUUUCAAUUUUUUUUUAAAUAUAUCUUUUGUGGUUAGAGACUUUUGAUACUCAGUUUGAGCUAUGCCCAACCACAUCUCACCCUAGCAUUAUUCAUUAUAGGGAACAAAAACCAUAAGUUAGGAUUUUAUAGUAAGAUAUUAAUACUUUUUGAGUAAUGUUUGAAUUGGAUGGUUCAUGUUUUUAAUAUUUUAUAUAUAGUUUAUUGAAUUAUUUGGGGUUAUUAAAGUAAUUAAUUGAGAUUAUUAAAUCAAGGUUUAAAUUUAAGAACAGAGUUUUAUUGGGAAUUAUCCCCAUAUGUGUAUGUUAAGAUUAUGUACAUAGAUUUCGUCAGUUAGUCACUUUCCCGAGAAAGUGUUUUAGUACCCAUCCU